ensembl:lncRNA
UAUAUAUAUAUAUAUAUAUAUAUAUAUAUAUAUAUAUAUAUAUAUAUAUAAACACUUGCUUUUUUUCUUUUGUUUAAUGUCUUAUUUAUUAAUUCACUUUUUUACAUUGUCAGUUUUUGUUUAUUCGUUCAUUUUUCACCCAGCCAUUCCUCUUAUGACCUGCAAACCACCUUGAAACCGGGCAGAAGCCCUCAUCUAUCGCUGUAUUUUCAGUGAUUUUCCCCUCGAGGUGCAUGGGUCAGUACGGCGAGCGUCCUCUGGUGGUCAAACGCAGCACUGUCUGUCUUGAAGUGAAGGGUGACUCCGCGCACUGUAAUCGGAAGUUCCCCUCCAAAACCUUUAGGAAACAACCCUGUCCGAUCUGCACCAAACCUCAUAAUCCUAAAUCCUGGGAAAGUUUUUCAGAGAGUGAGGAGGAGCUGCAUCAGCUGUCAUGGAUGCACAAACAGGAACUGAAGGAUUCACUGGUUGAUAUGUACAAAGCAGGUGGAUCGACCUUUGACAUAACCCGUCACGCCCCCUCCCCCUGUGUGUGCUGUCCGGGCUGGAAACGUAUAUGUACUGUUUGGUCCCAUCAGCUUGGCUCCUCUUACGGCAGUAUGGUGUGGUCCCGCUCAGCUUUUCCGACAGCCACCCACCCUGAUAUCACAUCUCACUCUCUCUCGGCCGUGCUUGGCUACACGGAGAGCAGGAGGCGCGUUGGCGACCCCUUCGGCUUCCUUGUGGGUCCCAUUGAAGUUCAAAAUCCCUAGAAUGGAGUGCCGUGUGGCCUAACAGGCUUGUCUGCUCCCUAAGUGGGUGGUCCGCCAGUGAUAGAGGGAUCCCUCAGGGCUCUGUCCUCCUCUUUUGUGCCUCUGUGUUGGUUUAAGGAAUAGACCUAUGGGCACUGCUUAACUGUGGAAGCCUGGUUACUGUGAUCUGAAACCAAACAAACCUAGCAAAAAGGCCAAUGCACUCACAAACAUACAAAGACUCGAGCUAUAAAACCCAACGAGAGGUUGGCAUCUCUUGAAAAGUUCUCGAAAUGAAGAAUUUUUGUGGAUGUUUGGGUCAGUCUUAUGAAAACAUGCCCAGGUCAUAUUUUACUUCAAAAGAUAAAAUAAGAAAUUAAUUCUGCAUGAAGACCGUUAGAAUUUUCUUGCAUUGUGACAUUCCAGAAUACUCUCUAAUGUAAUUAGCGUGGCUGUUCAUUCAUUCAUUCAUUCAUUCAUUCAUUCAUUCAUUCAUUCAUUCAUUCAUUUAGUGUUGGUAAUUCACAUUAUUCUCUGAUUCUCUUUACAUGCUCGUUUAUUAGUUUAAUUAGUAUUAGUAAUAAGAAAAUGAUGCUUUAAAAAAAUGCCUUUAUAUAAAUCAGUAUAAUUUUUUAUUAUAAUAUUACAAUAUGUUUUAUUUAAAUAUGUAUAAAUGAUAUUAUUUAUAGACUAUAUGGUUUAAAUAUAUAUAACUAUUUUUACUUUGCAUGACGUAAUGAAAAUGGGGGAGGGUGCAUAAUUGUAAUGAAAACAAUGUCACAAUGCAAAUAUAUAAAUAAAGGUCAUAAGAGCAGAUUUCUUUAUCUCUAC